UACGAAGGGGGCUAGCGUUGCUCGGAAUUACUGGGCGUAAAGGGCGCGUAGGCGGACAGUUUAGUCAGAGGUGAGAGCCCAGGGCUCAACCUUGGAAUUGCCUUUGAUACUGGCUGUCUUGAGUUCGGGAGAGGUGAGUGGAAUGCCGAGUGUAGAGGUGAAAUUCGUAGAUAUUCGGCGGAACACCAGUGGCGAAGGCGACUCACUGGCCCGAUACUGACACUGAGGCGCGAAAGCGUGGGGAGCAAACAGG
rnacentral:rRNA from 1 species